rnacentral:rRNA from 1 species
CGAAGUUAGCCGGUGCUUAUUCUGUCGGUAACGUCAAAAUUGCAGAGUAUUAAUCUACAACCCUUCCUCCCAACUUAAAGUGCUUUACAAUCCGAAGACCUUCUUCACACACGCGGCAUGGCUGGAUCAGGCUUUCGCCCAUUGUCCAAUAUUCCCCACUGCUGCCUCCCGUAGGAGUCUGGACCGUGUCUCAGUUCCAGUGUGACUGAUCAUCCUCUCAGACCAGUUACGGAUCGUCGCCUUGGUGAGCCAUUACCUCACCAACUAGCUAAUCCGACCUAGGCUCAUCCGAUAGCGCAAGGCCCGAAGGUCCCCUGCUUUCUCCCGUAGGACGUAUGCGGUAUUAGCGCCCGUUUCCGGACGUUAUCCCCCACUACCGGGCAGAUUCCUAGGCAUUACUCACCCGUCCGCCGCUGAAUCAUGGAGCAAGCUCCACUCAUCCGCUCGACUUGCAUGUGUAGGCCUCCGCCAGCGUA